AAUAUCGCAAGCGAUUAAGGUAUAAAUGCGUAAGUGUGCAUUUAUUUAAAAGGGAAUACGGUUUAAUUCCGUAGCUGUCCCGCAACUGUAAGAGGGAGUCGUGCUAGUAAGCCACUGUUCAACGAAUGGGAAGGCAAGCACAGACGAUGAGCUCAAGCCAGGAGACCUGCCUUUGUCGAGUACCACAAA
rnacentral:ncRNA from 17 species